GGUGAACGCUGGCGGCGUGCCUAACACAUGCAAGUCGAGCGGUGCAGUUUGAAGCUUCGGUGGAAAGCUGCAUAGCGGCGGACGGGUGAGGAAAACGUAGGAACGUGCCCCUUGGAGUUGGAUAGCCACGGGAAACUGUGGGUAAACCGACAUAGACUCGAGAGAGUAAAGGCCGAAAGGCGCCAAGGGAGCGGCCUGCGGCCCAUCAGGUAGUUGGUAGUGUAAAGGACUACCAAGCCGACGACGGGUAGCCGGUCUGAGAGGAUGAUCAGCCACACUGGAACUGAGACACGGUCCAGACUCCUACGGGAGGCAGCAGUGGGGAAUAUUGGACAAUGGGCGCAAGCCUGAUCCAGCCAUGCCGCGUGUGUGAAGAAGGCCUUGGGUUGUAAAGCACUUUUGUUGGGAAGAAACCGACCGGAUUAAUACUUCGGUUGAAUGACGGUACCCAAAGAAUAAGCACGGCUAACUUCGUGCCAGCAGCCGCGGUAAGAGUGUGUGUA
rnacentral:rRNA from 1 species